UCCCUGGCGGUCCAGUGGUUAAGAAUCUGCACUUCCAUUGCAGGGGGCACAGGUUCAAUUGCUGAUCAGGGAA
rfam:TPA: Bos taurus chromosome 29, whole genome shotgun sequence.